rnacentral:rRNA from 1 species
AAGAUAAUACCUAGAGAUAGUGGACGUUACUCACAGAAUAAGCAGCCAGGCUAACUCUGUGCCAGCAGCCGCGGUAAUACAGAGGGUGCAAGCGUUAAUCGGAUUUACUGGGCGUAAAGCGCGCGUAGGCGGCUAAUUAAGUCAAAUGUGAAAUCCCCGAGCUUAACUUGGGAAUUGCAUUCGAUACUGGUUAGCUAGAGUGUGGGAGAGGAUGGUAGAAUUCCAGGUGUAGCGGUGAAAUGCGUAGAGAUCUGGAGGAAUACCGAUGGCGAAGGCAGCCAUCUGGCCUAACACUGACGCUGAGGUGCGAAAGCAUGGGGAGCAAACAGGAUUAGAUACCCUGGUAGUCCAUGCCGUAAACGAUGUCUACUAGCCGUUGGGGCCUUUGAGGCUUUAGUGGCGCAGCUAACGCGAUAAGUAGACCGCCUGGGGAGUACGGUCGCAAGACUAAAACUCAAAUGAAUUGACGGGGGCCCGCACAAAGCGGUGGAGCAUGUGGUUUAAUUCGAUGCAACGCGAAGAACCUUUACUGGCCUGACAUAGUAGAACUUCCAGAGA